rnacentral:rRNA from 1 species
GUAAUACUCCAUAGUUCGUGCUGACUGGAAUGUUAUGCGAACGAAAGAUCCGUCGCUUCAGGAUGAGUCUGCGGCCGAUUAGGUAGUUGUUGGGGUAACGGCCCAACAAGCCUGUCAUCGGUACGGGUUGUGGGAGCAAGAGCCCGGAGACGGAUUCUGAGACACGAAUCCAGGCCCUACGGGGCGCAGCAGGCGCGAAAACUUUACCAUGCGGGCAACCGUGAUAAGGAAACCCCGAGUGCCAGCACAGGCUGGCUGUCCGCCAGUGUAAAUAACUGGUGAAGAAAGGGCCGGGCAAGACCGGUGCCAGCCGCCGCGGUAAUACCGGCGGCUCGAGUGGUGGCCACUAUUACUGGGCUUAAAGGGUCCGUAGCUUGAUAUGCAAGUCUCUUGAGAAAUCCGCCAGCUUAACUGGUGGGCGUUCAGGGGAAACUGCAUUUCUAGGGACCGGGAGAGGUGAGAGGUACUGCCGGGGUAGGAGUGAAAUCCUGUAAUCCCGGUGGGACCACCUAUGGCGAAGGCAUCUCACCAGAACGGGUCCGACAGUGAGGGACGAAAGCUGGGGAAGCAAACCGGAUUAGAUACCCGGGUAGUCCCAGCUGUAAACGAUGCGCGUUAGGUGUGUCAGUGACCACGUGUCACUGAGGUGCCGAAGGGAAACCGUGAAACGCGCCGCCUGGGGAGUACGGUCGCAAGGCUGAAACUUAAAGGAAUUGGCGGGGGAG